CCAGACUCCUACGGGAGGCAGCAGUGGGGAAUAUUGGGCAAUGGGCGCAAGCCUGACCCAGCAACGCCGCGUGAAGGAAGAAGGCUUUCGGGUUGUAAACUUCUUUUAAGAGGGAAGAGCAGAAGACGGUACCUCUUGAAUAAGCCACGGCUAACUACGUGCCAGCAGCCGCGGUAAUACGUAUGGGGCAAGCGUUAUCCGGAUUUACUGGGUGUAAAGGGAGCGCAGGCGGCCUGCCAAGUCUGGUGUGAAAACCCGGGGCCCAACCCCGGGCCUGCAUUGGAAACUGUGCGGCUGGAGUGUCGGAGAGGCAAGUGGAAUUCCUAGUGUAGCGGUGAAAUGCGUAGAUAUUAGGAGGAACACCAGUGGCGAAGGCGGCUUGCUGGACGACGACUGACGUUGAGGCUCGAAAGCGUGGGGAGCAAACAGGAUUAGAUACCCCAGUACAU
rnacentral:rRNA from 1 species